rnacentral:rRNA from 1 species
UGCCUUAGUAACUGCGAGUGAAGCGGCAAAAGCUCAAAUUUGAAAUCUGUCGCCUCCGGCGGCCGAGUUGUAAUUUGGAGGGAUAUCUUCGGGGACGGCGCCGCCCUAAGUUUCUUAGAACAGGACAUCAUAGAGGGUGAGAAUCCCGUGCCUGGGUGGCUGCCCCGUCUCCAUGUGAAGUGUCUCCGACGAGUCGAGUUGUUUGGGAAUGCAGCUCAAAAUGGGUGGUAAAUUUCAUCUAAAGCUAAAUAUUGGCGAGAGACCGAUAGCGCACAAGUAGAGUGAUCGAAAGAUGAAAAGCACUUUGAAAAGAGAGUUAAAAAGUACGUGAAAUUGUUGAAAGGGAAGCGCUUGCGACCAGACUUGAUCUUUGGUGAUCAGCCGGGCUUCUGUCCGGUGCCCUCGCCGCUGAUCAGGCCAGCAUCGGUUCCGGGGGCGGGAUAAAAGGCGGGGGAAUGUGGCUUCCUUCGGGGAGUGUUAUAGCCCCUGUCACAAUGCCGCCACCUGGCACCGAGGACCGCGCUUCGGCUAGGAUGCUGGCGUAAUGGUCUUAAGCGACCCGUCUUGAAACACGGACCAAGGAGUCUAACAUCUAUGCGAGUGUUCGGGUGGAAAACCCUUGCGCGUAAUGAAAGUGAACGUAGGUGUGAACCCGCGAGGGUGCAACAUCGACCGGUCCCGAUGUCUUCGGAAGGAUCUGAGUAAGAGCAUAGCUGUUGGGACCCGAAAGAUGGUGAACUAUGCCUGAAUAGGGUGAAGCCAGAGGAAACUCUGGUGGAGGCUCGCAGCGGUUCUGACGUGCAAAUCGAUCGUCAAAUUUGGGUAUAGGGGCGAAAGACUAAUCGAACCAUCUAGUAGCUGGUUCCUGCCGA